rnacentral:rRNA from 1 species
UACGUAGGGUGCAAGCGUUGUCCGGAAUUAUUGGGCGUAAAGAGCUCGUAGGCGGUUUGUUGCGUCGGCUGUGAAAUCCCGAGGCUCAACCUCGGGUCUGCAGUCGAUACGAGCAAACUAGAGUGUUGCAGGGGAGACUGGAAUUCCUGGUGUAGCGGUGAAAUGCGCAGAUAUCUGGAGGAACACCGGUGGCGAAGGCGGCAUCCUGGACCGAUAUUGACGCUGAGGAGCGAAAGCCAGGGGAGCAAACGGG